UCCUCGUUCGUCUAACGGCAAGACACCGGGUUCUGGCCCCGGCAAUGGGGGUUCGAGUCCUCCACGAGGAG
rnacentral:tRNA from 2 species